GUUUCAAUCGAGGUUGAGUUUAGUGAGGGUUGAAAGUUUUCGAUCUAGAUUGCAGAUCACUAUUGUCACUUUAUACAAACUGAAAGUAUGCGUUGUUGCGUGUUUGUUUUUGUGGGCAUUUGACUGAACAGCCCAGACAAAUAUUGCUACCAACAUGGCACUUCGAAACAGACCACCGCAGUGUUAGAUGACUGACAAGAUCUAUGGGGGGGCCCCCUUUGGGCCCCCCCAUACCAACUUAGUCUUCAAAGGAAUCUAGUGCCAUGGGACUCCAGUGUCUUCAAAACAUCCUCGGAAUACAUGUGUAUGAAUGGUCCACCGAAGGGUUGAUCUGGAAGCCACCACGGUCCACGCAGUAAUCUGCUGCGUGGGCCGUAGUGGCUUCCAGAGCCAUCUUUCGGUCUUGGUCAGGAUUUGUUACAGUUGCCCUUCAAUGUAGCAGGCUACGGGUUUCUGAAGAAGCCUGCUUUACGUAGCAUUGGAGUACAAAUAUUGUGCAAAAUGCUCAUGUAAUUGCACUAGCACUGGUAACCUGUAGAUUAGCGUAGAUUAGCUUAGUUUAACGUCAUUCGAUGCUGUCUGUCAAAUGUGUGGCUUACUUUAAGUCCACAAGGCCCUCUGGUAAACCACGUUGGAACACCCCUGGACAAGGGGGACUUGACUGGUGAGUCUACUGGAUUAAUCAGUAGCGGUACUUUGCCCAACAGAUUUGAUGGCAUGACUACAGGGUGACAAAGACAAUUAUUCCCUGCCUAUCAAAAGAGACUUCUAAAACAUAUCUGCUAGAACAGUUCCUAUACUUUUUGUAUAAUUUGGUCAUGCUGCAAAUUUACUUUUUGUAGUUGCACCAUAUUUAGUUCUUUGACAGCCUCACCUGCUAGAAAAGUCUAUUCAAAUCGGCUAAAUAUAAUGAACUAAAUUAAUAGCCAUGAAAUGUUGUCACUCAUACUAAUGGCAAAUACCCCCUUUCAGUUGGUGGUUCAACACUGAUGUCUCUCUAGGCUUGAGGGAGAGCUCACAAGUAAAUUACACGAAUGUCCUGGAGCAAUUGGGAAUACACUUUUAUUUAGUCUACCUGACCAGGGACAUCUUUGAACUAUAGGUCACCUAACCCAAACUUUUCACUCUUGUUGGGUUGUCCUUUUCUCUUGUUUUAACCCGAAAGGGCUGAAAAUAUCAAAAUUUCAGGUAUUCUGUUUGGAUAAUGUGCAAAACUUGUGGCUUCACUAAUAAAAAAAAUUAACGAAUGUAUUUUUCUUAAUGUGGUUAAACUAUUUAAAGAUUUGUAUGCAAAAUAUUUCUGCUCAAUUUGUGGUCAAUGAAACAAUUUUUUAAUUUGAU